UACGUAGGGGGCUAGCGUUGUCCGGAAUCAUUGGGCGUAAAGAGCGCGUAGGCGGCCCGGUAAGUCCGCUGUAAAAGUCAAAGGCUCAACCUUUGAAGGUCAGUGGAUACUGCCGGGCUAGAGUCCGGAAGAGGCGAGUGGAACUCCUGGUGUAGCGGUGGAAUGCGCAGAUAUCAGGAAGAACACCCGUGGCGAAGGCGGCUCUCUGGGGACGGUACUGACGCUGAGACGCGAAAGCGUGGGGAGCGAACAGG
rnacentral:rRNA from 1 species